rnacentral:rRNA from 1 species
GAUCAGUCACACCGGAACUGAGACACGGUCCGGAUUCCUACGGGAGGCAGCAGUGGGGAAUAUUGGACAAUGGGGGCAACCCUGAUCCAGCCAUGCCGCGUGUGUGAAGAAGGCCUUUUGGUUGUAAAGCACUUUAAGCAGGGAGGAGAGGCUAAUGGUUAAUACCCAUUAGAUUAGACGUUACCUGCAGAAUAAGCACCGGCUAACUUUGUGCCAGCAGCCGCGGUAAUACAGAGGGUGCGAGCGUUAAUCGGAAUUACUGGGCGUAAAGCGAGUGUAGGUGGCUCAUUAAGUCACAUGUGAAAUCCCCGGGCUUAACCUGGGAACUGCAUGUGAUACUGGUGGUGCUAGAAUAUGUGAGAGGGAAGUAGAAUUCCAGGUGUAGCGGUGAAAUGCGUAGAGAUCUGGAGGAAUACCGAUGGCGAAGGCAGCUUCCUGGCAUAAUAUUGACACUGAGAUUCGAAAGCGUGGGUAGCAAACAGGAUUAGAUACCCUGGUAGUCCACGCCGUAAACGAUGUCUACUAGCCGUUGGGGUCCUUGAGACUUUAGUGGCGCAGUUAACGCGAUAAGUAGACCGCCUGGGGAGUACGGCCGCAAGGUUAAAACUCAAAUGAAUUGACGGGGGCCCGCACAAGCGGUGGAGCAUGUGGUUUAAUUCGAUGCAACGCGAAGAACCUUACCUGGUCUUGACAUAGUGAGAAUCCUGCAGAGAUGCGGGAGUGCCUUCGGGAAUUCACAUACAGGUGCUGCAUGGCUGUCGUCAGCUCGUGUCGUGAGAUGUUGGGUUAAGUCCCGCAACGAGCGCAACCCUUUUCCUUAUUUGCCAGCGGGUUAAGCCGGGAACUUUAAGGAUACUGCCAGUGACAAACUGGAGGAAGGCGGGGACGACGUCAAGUCAUCAUGGCCCUUACGACCAGGGCUACACACGUGCUACAAUGGUAGGUACAGAGGGUUGCUACACAGCGAUGUGAUGCUAAUCUCAAAAAGCCUAUCGUAGUCCGGAUUGGAGUCUGCAACUCGACUCCAUGAAGUCGGAAUCGCUAGUAAUCGCAGAUCAGAAUGCUGCGGUGAAUACGUUCCCGGGCCUUGUACACACCGCCCGUCACACCAUGGGAGUCUAUUGCACCAGAAGUAGGUAGCCUAACGUAAGAGGGCGCU